rnacentral:rRNA from 2 species
AAACUUUUAACAAUGGAUCUCUUGGUUCCGGCAUCGAUGAAGAACGCAGCGAACUGCGAUAAGUAAUGUGAAUUGCAGAAUUCAGUGAAUCAUCGAGUCUUUGAACGCACAUUGCGCCCCCUGGUAUUCCGGGGGGCAUGCCUGUCCGAGCGUCAUU